AAGCCUGCGAAGGUGUGCUGUGAGGCAUGCUGGAGGUAUCAGAAGUGCGAAUGCUGACAUAAGUAACGAUAAAGCGGGUGAAAAGCCCGCUCGCCGGAAGACCAAGGGUUCCUGUCCAACGUUAAUCGGGGCAGGGUGAGUCGACCCCUAAGGCGAGGCCGAAAGGCGUAGUCGAUGGGAAACAGGUUAAUAUUCCUGUACUUGGUGUUACUGCGAAGGGGGGACGGAGAAGGCUAUGUUGGCCGGGCGACGGUUGUCCCGGUUUAAGCGUGUAGGCUGGUUUUCCAGGCAAAUCCGGAAAAUCAAGGCUGAGGCGUGAUGACGAGGCACUGCGGUGCUGAAGCAACAAAUGCCCUGCUUCCAGGAAAAGCCUCUAAGCAUCAGGUAACAUCAAAUCGUACCCCAAACCGACACAGGUGGUCAGGUAGAGAAUACCAAGGCGCUUGAGAGAACUCGGGUGAAGGAACUAGGCAAAAUGGUGCCGUAACUUCGGGAGAAGGCACGCUGAUAUGUAGGUGAAGUCCCUCGCGGAUGGAGCUGAAAUCAGUCGAAGAUACCAGCUGGCUGCAACUGUUUAUUAAAAACACAGCACUGUGCAAACACGAAAGUGGACGUAUACGGUGUGACGCCUGCCCGGUGCCGGAAGGUUAAUUGAUGGGGUUAGCGCAAGCGAAGCUCUUGAUCGAAGCCCCGGUAAACGGCGGCCGUAACUAUAACGGUCCUAAGGUAGCGAAAUUCCUUGUCGGGUAAGUUCCGACCUGCACGAAUGGCGUAAUGAUGGCCAGGCUGUCUCCACCCGAGACUCAGUGAAAUUGAACUCGCUGUGAAGAUGCAGUGUACCCGCGGCAAGACGGAAAGACCCCGUGAACCUUUACUAUAGCUUGACACUGAACAUUGAGCCUUGAUGUGUAGGAUAGGUGGGAGGCUUUGAAGUGUGGACGCCAGUCUGCAUGGAGCCGACCUUGAAAUACCACCCUUUAAUGUUUGAUGUUCUAACGUUGACCCGUAAUCCGGGUUGCGGACAGUGUCUGGUGGGUAGUUUGACUGGGGCGGUCUCCUCCUAAAGAGUAACGGAGGAGCACGAAGGUUGGCUAAUCCUGGUCGGACAUCAGGAGGUUAGUGCAAUGGCAUAAGCCAGCUUGACUGCGAGCGUGACGGCGCGAGCAGGUGCGAAAGCAGGUCAUAGUGAUCCGGUGGUUCUGAAUGGAAGGGCCAUCGCUCAACGGAUAAAAGGUACUCCGGGGAUAACAGGCUGAUACCGCCCAAGAGUUCAUAUCGACGGCGGUGUUUGGCACCUCGAUGUCGGCUCAUCACAUCCUGGGGCUGAAGUAGGUCCCAAGGGUAUGGCUGUUCGCCAUUUAAAGUGGUACGCGAGCUGGGUUUAGAACGUCGUGAGACAGUUCGGUCCCUAUCUGCCGUGGGCGCUGGAGAACUGAGGGGGGCUGCUCCUAGUACGAGAGGACCGGAGUGGACGCAUCACUGGUGUUCGGGUUGUCAUGCCAAUGGCACUGCCCGGUAGCUAAAUGCGGAAGAGAUAAGUGCUGAAAGCAUCUAAGCACGAAACUUGCCCCGAGAUGAGUUCUCCCUGACUCCUUGAGAGUCCUGAAGGAACGUUGAAGACGACGACGUUGAUAGGCCGGGUGUGUAAGCGCAGCGAUGCGUUGAGCUAACCGGUACUAAUGAACCGUGAG
rnacentral:rRNA from 1 species